rnacentral:rRNA from 1 species
UACGUAGGGUGCAAGCGUUAAUCGGAAUUACUGGGCGUAAAGCGUGCGCAGGCGGUUAUGUAAGACAGAUGUGAAAUCCCCGGGCUUAACCUGGGAACUGCAUUUGUGACUGCAGAGCUGGAGUGCGGCAGAGGGGGAUGGAAUUCCGCGUGUAGCAGUGAAAUGCGUAGAUAUGCGGAGGAACACCGAUGGCGAAGGCAAUCCCCUGGGCCUGCACUGACGCUCAUGCACGAAAGCGUGGGGAGCAAACAGG